UACGUAGGGGGCUAGCGUUGUCCGGAUUUAUUGGGCGUAAAGAGCGUGUAGGCGGCCUGGUAGGUCUGCUGUGAAAACUCGAGGCUCAACCUCGAGACGUCGGCGGAAACCAUCUGGCUAGAGUCCGGAAGAGGUGAGUGGAACUCCGAGUGUAGAGGUGAAAUUCGUAGAUAUUCGGAAGAACACCAGUGGCGAAGGCGGCUCACUGGUCCGGUACUGACGCUGAGGUGCGAAAGCGUGGGGAGCAAACAGGG
rnacentral:rRNA from 1 species